GCGCUCGAUCGCGCUGUAUGAGACAGGAAAACAUAGCAUGCAGACAUUAGCGACAGGUCUUACAGGCGGAAAAGGCUUGCCAAAAGAAAAAAAAAACACACCACAACAUCUCUCCUAUUGGUGGAAAACUUCACCACAACAACCAAUCCAAAAUUAUAUGGUGACUGAUUGACAAGGGGCGGGUGCUUACGUUCUUCCUGCAACAUGAGAAGCGAGGGAGGGACUCUCAGCAGGGAUGCAGUCUGGGACACGUAGUUGCAAACCUAGCGACUUUGUUGUUAGAUUCAAUGACUUUUCAGACCCCCUAACGACUUUUUUUUUAGAAAGAAAGGGACUUUUAUCGACUUCUUCUGGAGUUUAGAGACUCUGACAUGAAGCAGGCUUUCCUUACUGAGGAGUUAGCAACGCUGCUAAGGGUGCAGAGCCACACAUGCGCUCAGAGCUCUGCAUGGGAGACUGAAGCUGACAGAGCUGCAGCAGUUAGCAGGUUUCACCCUCAGAGACCACCAGGGGUUCAUGUUGAGGCAUUUUAAUUUUUUUUUUUUUUGUGCCAUAGACACUGUCAGCACAAUCUGCAGUUACACUAACAAAAAUGCUGCAAAAAACAAAGAAUUAUGGAAAAAUUACACAUGGACUGACAUAGAGGAGGAUCUAGUUUUUUACAUCAUGUUUUACAUCAUGCAUCAUUUACAUCAUGUUUUUUUGUAGUGGCAUAAAUAAAAAGUGACAUUUGUGAGACUAUACAGUGUUUUGUAAAUAAUUUUACAAAGAACGCCUGGGCCAUUGCCUGCAUUUUGAUGUAAAUAGAGGUAAAUCACUAUGUUCUUUGUUAAAAAUUUGCAUAUGUUUUGAAGUUUACAAUUUUUAUUUGAAGUUUAAGUUUUAAAAACAGUUCAUCACACAUAUUUGUGGUUUUCACAGUAAAAAUGUUACUUUUUUCCACUCGGAUUUUAUGUUUUGUGUGUGAAUUUGGGUCCAUUGUGUAAAUUCAGUAUGUCAACAUGAUAAAAUAACUGUAAAUUCGCACAGGUGAGGUUGUGCUGAAAAAAAUGAUACCAGGCAAGGCACGUGAUUGUCAAAUUUUGUGUCAAUAUGACAAAGCGUAUAGGCGUGAAUCUCAACAAUAUGUAUUUUCACCUUAGGGGACAAGAAAAAAUUGACUUUUUUCUCCUGCCAUGGGGGGGCGCUCUUUUGGGGAGUAAAAAUUCCUUCACAAAUGUGUUGAUGGCUGGACAUUGCAUCAUCCUAGAAAACUUGGAGGCCAGUGAGGACAAAAAUAAAAAGUUACAAGACUUUUAAAUAUGUGGAUUUUAGGGUUAUCUUUGGCGCCCCCUAGAACCUAAACCGUGGGGUGCAGCGUCAUGAUUUUGAUAACUUUUAAUGGCCAUGGGGUGUAGAUUGGCCUGAGCAAAUGUGUUGCCGGUGGAACGAAAGCCUUAGGAGGAGUUAGCCACAUUCCAAUGUGUGCGGAUCGGCAAAAAAUGCGGAAUAACCCUUUAACCGUACAUUUGACAGAUACGCGCUCAUAGACUUUUUUGUAGAUCUUAUUGAGAUACAUGUGUGUGUCAAUUUUUGUGUCAUUUUGCCAAAGCGUAAAGGCGUGACAGUCAACAAUGUGUAUUUUCACCUUAGGGGUCAAGAAAAAAUGGACUUUUUUCUCCUGCCAUGGGGGGGCGCUCUUUUGGGGAGUAAAAAUUCCUUCACAGAUGUGUUGAUGGCUGGACAUUGCAUCAUCCUAGAAAACUUGGAGGCCAAUGAGGACAAAAAUAAAAAGUUAUAAGAUUUUUAAAUAUGUGGAUUUUAGGGUUAUCUUUGGCGCCCCCUAGAACCUAAACCGUGGGGUGCAGCGUCAUGAUUUGAAUAACUUUUAAUGGCCAUGGGGUGUAGAUUGGCCUGAGCAAAUGUGGUGCCGGUGGAACGAAAGCCUUCGGAGGAGUUAGCGAAAUUCCAAUGUGUGCAGAUCUGCAAAAAAUGCAAAAUAACCCAUUAACCGUACAUUUGACAGAUACGCCCGCACUGACUUUUUUGUAGAUCUUAUUGAGAUACAUGUGUGUGUCAAUUUUUGUGUCAAUAUGACAAAGCGUACAGCCGUGACAGUGAAUAGUGUGAAUUUUCACCUUAGGGGGCGCUAUGGAGCCAUUUUGCAUUUUAUUGUUUUGGCGACUUCAGAAUAUCAAAUUUUUCACCAGGCCCGGUCGUCCUGCCAAAUUUCAUGAGUUUUCGCCAGUGGGAAGUGGGCCAUUUUCCAGUUCAAAGGGGAGGAAAAAGAAAAAAGAAAGUAAGAAACAAAGAAAAACCACUUGGGGAAUAAUAGGGCCUACGCCCGGCUGCUCUGCAGCUGGCUCGGGCCCUAACGAAAGAAGGAAACAUGCAGGAACAAGAGGGCUCUCGCAGCUGCUUAGCAGUUACGCUCGGGCCCUAAUAACA
rnacentral:lncRNA from 1 species